AGAAUGCCCUAUACCCUCCCAUAAGGGAGAAGGGAGCCGGCAUCAGGCGCGCUAUACGCAGCCCAAAACGCCUUGCUCAGCCACACCCCCAAGGGACCUCAGCAGUGAUUAACAUUAAGCUAUAAGCGAAAGCUUGACUUAAAUAAGGCCGAAAGGGCCGGUAAAGAUCGUGCCAGCCACCGCGGUUAUACGAGAGGCCCAAAUUAAUGCUCCACGGCGUAGAGCGUGAUUAAAAAAUAUAAAAACUAAAGCAGAACACCCUCUAUGCUGUUAUACGCCCCCAAGAGGUUGAAGCCCCAAAACGAAAGUAACUUUAACAAUUUUGAACUCACGACAGUCGAGAAACAAACUGGGAUUAGAUACCCCACUAUGCUCAACCAUAAACAAUGAUAUAUACAUACGAAUAUAUCCGCCAGGGGACUACAAGCAAUAGCUUAAAACCCAAAGGACUUGGCGGUGCCUUAAACCCACCUAGAGGAGCCUGUUCUAUAACCGAUAAUCCCCGUUAAACCUUACCACCCCUUGUUAAACCCGCCUAUAUACCGCCGUCGCAAGCCCACCUUUUGAGAGACUAAUAGUGGGCCUAAUGAGUUUUACCCAAAACGUCAGGUCGAGGUGUAGCGAAUGGGGUGGAAUGAAAUGGGCUACAUUUUCUGAGCCAGAAUAUACGAAAAGUGCCAUGAAAUAACACAACAUGAAGGUGGAUUUAGCAGUAAAAAGAAAAUAGAGAGUUCUUUUGAAACAUGGCUCUGAGGCGCGCACACACCGCCCGUCACUCUCCUCAAAUAACAGUAAAGCCUAUAUAUAAAAUGUAAAUAUCAACAAGAGGAGGCAAGUCGUAACAUGGUAAGUGUACCGGAAGGUGCACUUGGAAAAU
rnacentral:ncRNA from 1 species